rnacentral:misc_RNA from 1 species
GGAGGGAUCAUCAAAGAAGAAAAAAAACUCGGGUAUAUCUUCUUUUGGAAAAAAGGGGGUAUGCUUGUUUUUUUCAAACAAACGAUCGCAACUAUUCUAUAUAAAAGAGGGGGGAAACAAGUGCUUGCCUGAUAUAAAAUCAUUGAUUUUUGGAAACAAAAUACAACUUUCAACAACGGAUCUCUUGGCUCUCACAUCGAUGAAGAACAUAGCAAAGUGUGAAAAUUAGUGUGAAUUGCAGAAUUCAGUGAAUCAUUGAGUUUUUGAACGCAUCUUGCACUUCUUGGUAUUCCAGGGAGUAUGCCUGGUUGAGCAAUGGGAACACAUCUAAUCAAACUCUCUUGUUUGUUUUUUUUGCCUUGUCAUUUAGACAGACAGACAGGCAGACAAGGAGGGGUUGGAAUUGAGUGGAUUUACCUUGGUUUUUUUACUUGAUCUUCUCUGUCAGAGCAAUCUAUCAGAGUAAGAGAAAAGCAGCAAGUCUAGCUAGGGUUUUUUUAGCUAGACAGAGAAAACACAAGGUUCACUUGAAAUAGAGGAAAAGAAACAACAACAGGAAACUUGGUGUUGGGAUCACAAAAAGACAAGCAGAAGCAUUUUCUCAUUCAUUUUGAGAAAAGAAGGGGGAGAGCAAGCUUGAUCAUAACAAUGACUUGAGGAAUUCUAUAGAUGGGUGGUGGGGCCAAUGAUUGACUCUUCUCUCUUUCUUGUUUGAUUGAGAAAGGGGGAAAGGUUGAUUGUUGCGCUUUUGCGCAUCCGUGUAGGCUAAAAGUCUUGUUUAGAGCUUCUCUUCUGUCUGCUCUGUCUGAUCUCUCUUCCAUCAGAGCUUGUGUUGUGUUUUUUCUACAACUAGGAAAUAUACAUUGAUUAUCAUUCUCAACUCAGGCAAGACUACCCGCUGAAUUUAAGCAUAUAAAUAAGCGGAGGAAAAGAAACUAACAAGGAUUCCCUUAGUAACUGCGAGUGAAGCGGGAAAAGCUCAAUUUUGAAAUCUACCAAGAGUAACAUUCUUGGUCGAAUUGUAGUUUCAAGAAAGAGUGGCUGAGAGAAGUCGGUUGGGUGCAAGUUCCUUGGAAUGGGACAUCAGAGAGGGUGACAAUCCCGUCUACCAUCCUUCCGUUUCGCUUCUCGUAAAGGCCCUUUUUUCAAAGAGUCGAGUUGUUUGGGAUUGCAGCUCAAAAUGGGUGGUAAAUUUCAUCUAAGGCUAAAUAUGGGUGAGAGACCGAUAGCGAACAAGUACCGUGAGGGAAAGAUGAAAAGCACUCUGAAGAGAGAGUGAAAAGUACGUGAAAUUGUUGAAAGGGAAACGCUUGAAACCAGUCAAGGUUUGCUAGAAAUCAGGGAGGUUCCAUAGCUUGGGCGAGGUUGGAUGUAGUGAUUGGCGCGCGUGUGUGCUUUCUUUUUUGAGGAGGCGCAGCAGCGCUGCUGACUCUGCGCUGGCUCCGGGCCUGGUUGUGCUUUCUGUACGUUUCUAACAAACAAGUCAGCAUCAGUUUGGCAGCUUGGGAAAAAGAUAGUAGGAUUUGGUCGGGCUUUUGGCAGACCUUGUGUCUCUGGAGGCUUGAGCCUGUUAUCAUGAUACCAAGUACUCUAGACUGAGGACAGCAGGACAGGGCAUCGUCUUGGAAUAGGCAAUCUUGUGGUGGCGGUCUUGAUAAACAGCUUGUCUGAUUGUCAAGGGUCUUUUGUCACUCAAGACUUGUCAAAUCCACGCAGGCUCUGACUUUGGAUGUUGACGAAAUGGUUUUAAACGACCCGUCUUGAAACACGGACCAAGGAGUCUAACAUGGAUGCAAGUAUUUGGGUGAUUGGAAACCCAUAUGCGCAAUGAAAGUGAAUUUAUUAAGAGGUAGGAAGCCCCCCCGGACUUUCUAAUAAAAAGUCCCGAGGGGGCCGCACUAUCGACCAAUCUUGACUAGCUCCGGCUUGAUAGAUUUGAGUAAGAGCAUGCAUGUUGGGACCCGAAAGAUGGUGAACUAUGCCUGAAUAGGGUGAAGUCAGACGAAAGUCUGAUGGAAGCUCGUAGCGAUUCUGACGUGCAAAUCGAUCGUCAAAUUUGGGUAUAGGGGCGAAAGACUAAUCGAACCAUCUAGUAGCUGGUUCCUGC